rnacentral:tRNA from 1 species
GUGGGUAUAGCUGAGUGGUAGAGCACAUGCUUAGCAUGCACGAGGUCUUGGGUUCAACCCCCAAUCCCUCUA